GACGAACGCUGGCGGCGUGCUUAACACAUGCAAGUCGAACGGAAAGGCCCCUUUGGGGGUCCUCGAGUGGCGAACGGGUGAGUAACACGUGAGUAACCUGCCCUUGACUUCGGGAUAACUUCAGGAAACUGGGGCUAAUACCGGAUAGGAAUCCUUGCUGCAUGGUGGGGGUUGGAAAGCUUCGGCGGUUUUGGAUGGACUCGCGGCUUAUCAGCCUGUUGGUGGGGUAGUGGCUUACCAAGGCUUUGACGGGUAGCCGGCCUGAGAGGGCGACCGGCCACAUUGGGACUGAGAUACGGCCCAGACUCCUACGGGAGGCAGCAGUGGGGAAUAUUGCACAAUGGGCGGAAGCCUGAUGCAGCAACGCCGCGUGCGGGAUGACGGCCUUCGGGUUGUAAACCGCUUUCAGCAGGGGCGAAGCUUGUGGUGACGGUACCUGCAGAAGAAGCACCGGCUAACUACGUG
rnacentral:rRNA from 1 species